AGAGUUUGAUCAUGGCUCAGAUUGAACGCUGGCGGCAGGCCUAACACAUGCAAGUCGAGCGGUAGCACAAGAGAGCUUGCUCUCUGGGUGACGAGCGGCGGACGGGUGAGUAAUGUCUGGGAAACUGCCUGAUGGAGGGGGAUAACUACUGGAAACGGUAGCUAAUACCGCAUAACGUCUUCGGACCAAAGUGGGGGACCUUCGGGCCUCACGCCAUCAGAUGUGCCCAGAUGGGAUUAGCUAGUAGGUGGGGUAAUGGCUCACCUAGGCGACGAUCCCUAGCUGGUCUGAGAGGAUGACCAGCCACACUGGAACUGAGACACGGUCCAGACUCCUACGGGAGGCAGCAGUGGGGAAUAUUGCACAAUGGGCGCAAGCCUGAUGCAGCCAUGCCGCGUGUGUGAAGAAGGCCUUCGGGUUGUAAAGCACUUUCAGCGAGGAGGAAGGGUAGUGUGUUAAUAGCACAUUGCAUUGACGUUACUCGCAGAAGAAGCACCGGCUAACUCCGUGCCAGCAGCCGCGGUAAUACGGAGGGUGCAAGCGUUAAUCGGAGUUACUGGGCGUAAAGCGCACGCAGGCGGUUUGUUAAGUCAGAUGUGAAAUCCCCGCGCUUAACGUGGGAACUGCAUUUGAAACUGGCAAGCUAGAGUCUUGUAGAGGGGGGUAGAAUUCCAGGUGUAGCGGUGAAAUGCGUAGAGAUCUGGAGGAAUACCGGUGGCGAAGGCGGCCCCCUGGACAAAGACUGACGCUCAGGUGCGAAAGCGUGGGGAGCAAACAGGAUUAGAUACCCCGGUAGU
rnacentral:rRNA from 1 species